AUUGAACGCUGGCGGCAUGCCUUACACAUGCAAGUCGAACGGUAACAGGUCUUCGGAUGCUGACGAGUGGCGAACGGGUGAGUAUUGCAUCGGAACGUGCCCAGUUGUGGGGGAUAACUGCUCGAACGAGCAGCUAAUACCGCAUACGACCUGAGGGUGAAAGCGGGGGAUCGCAAGACCUAGCGCAAUUGGAGCGGCCGAUGUCAGAUUAGGUAGUUGGUGGGGUAAAGGCCUACCAAGCCGACGAUCUGUAGUUGGUCUGAGAGGACGACCAGCCACACUGGGACUGAGACACGGCCCAGACUCCUACGGGAGGCAGCAGUGGGGAAUUUUGGACAAUGGGCGCAAGCCUGAUCCAGCAAUGCCGCGUGCAGGAAGAAGGCCUUCGGGUUGUAAACUGCUUUUGUCAGGGAAGAAAUCCUCUGGGUUAAUACCCCGGGGGGAUGACGGUACCUUGCGAGAAAGCCACGGCUAACUACGUGCCAGCCGCCGCGGUAA
rnacentral:rRNA from 1 species